rnacentral:rRNA from 1 species
CCUACGGGUGGCAGCAGUGAGGAAUAUUGGUCAAUGGACGCAAGUCUGAACCAGCCAUGCCGCGUGCAGGAUGACGGCUCUAUGAGUUGUAAACCGCUUUUGUACGAGGGUAAACCCCGAUACGUGUAUCGGGUCGCAAGUAUCGUACGAAUAAGGAUCGGCUAACUCCGUGCCAGCAGCCGCGGUAAUACGGAGGAUCCGAGCGUUAUCCGGAUUUAUUGGGUUUAAAGGGUGCGUAGGCGGUUUGGUAAGUUAGAGGUGAACUGGUGGGGCUCAACCCCGGAACUGCCGGUGAUACUGUUGGACUAGAGAAUAGUUGCGGUAGGCGGAAUGUAUGGUGUAGCGGUGAAAUGCUUAGAGAUCAUACAGAACACCGAUUGCGAAGGCAGCUUACCAAGCUAUAUCUGACGUUGAGGCACGAAAGCGUGGGUAGCGAACAGGAUUAGAUACCCUUGUAGUC